rnacentral:rRNA from 1 species
GACAGAGGUGCCAAGCGUUAGGCGGAAUCACUGGGCUUAAAGCGUGUGUAGGCGGAUCGUUAAGUACCUUGUGAAAUCCCACGGCUCAACCGUGGAACUGCUCGGUAUACUGGCGGUCUUGAGCCACCUAGGGGCAACUGGAACAAGCGGUGGAGCGGUGAAAUGCGUAGAGAUCCGGAGGAACCCCAGAGGCGAAGGCGGCGUCCCUGGCCCAUUCUGACGUUCAGACAUGACAGCAUGGGGAGCGAACGGG